AGUUAAGAAACAAAAUUUUUGUAUUUCAAUUUCGACUUGAAAAUUUGAUUAAUAAUUAAUCCUUAAUGA
rnacentral:tRNA from 1 species